UACGUAGGGGGCGAGCGUUGUCCGCAGUUACUGGGCGUAAAGCGCGUGUAGGCGGGUCUUUAAGUGGGGGGUGAAAGGUUUGGGCUUAACCCAGACACUGCCUUUCAUACUGGAGACCUUGAGUGCGGGAGAGGCGAGUGGAAUGGUCGGUGUAGCGGUGAAAUGCGUAGAUAUCGAUCGGAACACCCAUGGCGAAGGCAGCUCGCUGGCCUGUAACUGACGCUGAGACGCGAAAGCGUGGGGAGCAAACAGG
rnacentral:rRNA from 1 species